rnacentral:rRNA from 1 species
GACGAACGCUGGCGGCGUGCUUAACACAUGCAAGUCGAACGGAAAGGCCCUGCUUUUGUGGGGUGCUCGAGUGGCGAACGGGUGAGUAACACGUGAGUAACCUGCCCUUGACUUUGGGAUAACUUCAGGAAACUGGGGCUAAUACCGGAUAGGAGCUCCUGCUGCAUGGUGGGGGUUGGAAAGUUUCGGCGGUUGGGGAUGGACGCGCGGCUUAUCAGCUUGUUGGUGGGGUAGUGGCUUACCAAGGCUUUGACGGGUAGCCGGCCUGAGAGGGUGACCGGGCACAUUGGGACUGAGAGACGGCCCAGAGUCCUACGGGAGGCAGCAGUGGGGAAUAUUGCACAAUGGGCGGAAGCCUGAUGCAGAAACGCCGCGUGCGGGAUGACGGCCUUCGGGUUGUAAACCGCUUUAGCCUGUGACGAAGCGUGAGUGACGGUAAUGGGUAAAGAAGCACCGGCUAACUACGUG